rnacentral:rRNA from 1 species
AAGCAAUGACGCACUCUGAUGCAGCGACGCCGCGUGAGUGAUGAAGGCCUUCGGGUUGUAAAGCUCUGUCCUUGGGGAAGAUAAUGACGGUACCCGUGAGGAAGCCCCGGCUAACUACGUGCCACCAGCCGCGGUAAUACGUAGGGGGCGAGC